GAUGAACGCUGGCGGCGUGCCUAAUACAUGCCAGUCGAGCGAACAGAUGAGGAGCUUGCUCCUCUGACGUUAGCGGCGGACGGGUGAGUAACACGUGGAUAACCUACCUAUAAGACUGGGAUAACUUCGGGAAACCGGAGCUAAUACCGGAUAAUAUAUUGAACCGCAUGGUUCAAUAGUGAAAGACGGUUUUGCUGUCACUUAUAGAUGGAUCCGCGCCGCAUUAGCUAGUUGGUAAGGUAACGGCUUACCAAGGCAACGAUGCGUAGCCGACCUGAGAGGGUGAUCGGCCACACUGGAACUGAGACACGGUCCAGACUCCUACGGGAGGCAGCAGUAGGGAAUCUUCCGCAAUGGGCGAAAGCCUGACGGAGCAACGCCGCGUGAGUGAUGAAGGUCUUCGGAUCGUAAAACGCUGUUAUUAGGGAAGAACAAAUGUGUAAGUAACUAUGCACGUCUUGACGGUACCUAAUCAGAAAGCCACGGCUAACUACGUG
rnacentral:rRNA from 1 species